rnacentral:pre_miRNA from 1 species
UCUUAUAGAUGAGUGAAGAAAGUGGUUUCUUGAGUUGGAAUCUACUUCUAGUGAAGAUGCUAUGAA